rnacentral:rRNA from 1 species
UGCCUAAUACAUGCAAGUCGAGCGAAUCGACGGGAGCUUGCUCCCUGAGAUUAGCGGCGGACGGGUGAGUAACACGUGGGCAACCUGCCUAUAAGACUGGGAUAACUUCGGGAAACCGGAGCUAAUACCGGAUACGUUCUUUUCUCGCAUGAGAGAAGAUGGAAAGACGGUUUACGCUGUCACUUAUAGAUGGGCCCGCGGCGCAUUAGCUAGUUGGUGAGGUAAUGGCUCACCAAGGCGACGAUGCGUAGCCGACCUGAGAGGGUGAUCGGCCACACUGGGACUGAGACACGGCCCAGACUCCUACGGGAGGCAGCAGUAGGGAAUCUUCCGCAAUGGACGAAAGUCUGACGGAGCAACGCCGCGUGAACGAAGAAGGCCUUCGGGUCGUAAAGUUCUGUUGUUAGGGAAGAACAAGUACCAGAGUAACUGCUGGUACCUUGACGGUACCUAACCAGAAAGCCACGGCUAACUACGUGCCAGCAGCCGCGGUAAUACGUAGGUGGCAAGCGUUGUCCGGAAUUAUUGGGCGUAAAGCGCGCGCAGGUGGUUCCUUAAGUCUGAUGUGAAAGCCCACGGGUCAACCGUGGAGGGUCAUUGGAAACUGGGGAACUUGAGUGCAGAAGAGGAAAGUGGAAUUCCAGUGUAGCGGUGAAAUGCGUAGAGAUUUGGAGGAACACCAGUGGCGAAGCGACUUUCUGGUCUGUAACUGACACUGAAGC